GACGAACGCUGGCGGCGUGCCUAAUACAUGCAAGUCGAACGCUUCUUUCCUCCCGAGUGCUUGCACUCAAUUGGAAAGAGGAGUGGCGGACGGGUGAGUAACACGUGGGUAACCUACCCAUCAGAGGGGGAUAACACUUGGAAACAGGUGCUAAUACCGCAUAACAGUUUAUGCCGCAUGGCAUAAGAGUGAAAGGCGCUUUCGGGUGUCGCUGAUGGAUGGACCCGCGGUGCAUUAGCUAGUUGGUGAGGUAACGGCUCACCAAGGCCACGAUGCAUAGCCGACCUGAGAGGGUGAUCGGCCACACUGGGACUGAGACACGGCCCAGACUCCUACGGGAGACAGCAGUAGGGAAUCUUCGGCAAUGGACGAAAGUCUGACCGAGCAACGCCGCGUGAGUGAAGAAGGUUUUCGGAUCGUAAAACUCUGUUGUUAGAGAAGAACAAGGACGUUAGUAACUGAACGUCCCCUGACGGUAUCUAACCAGAAAGCCACGGCUAACUACGUG
rnacentral:rRNA from 1 species